UAACACGGGGGGAGCAAGCGUUGUUCGGAAUCACUGGGCGUAAAGGGCGUGUAGGCGGUCGAGUAAGUGGAAUGUGAAAUACUCCGGCUCACCCGGAGCACUGCAUUCCAAACUGCUCGGCUUGAGUAUGGGAGAGGAUGAGGGAAUUCCUGGUGUAGCGGUGAAAUGCGUAGAUAUCAGGAGGAACACCGGUGGCGAAGGCGCUCAUCUGGCCCAAUACUGACGCUGAGGCGCGAAAGCUAGGGGAGCAAACGGGAUUAGAUACCCCGGUAGUCCUAGCCGUAAACGGUGAGCACUAGGUGUUGGAGGCAUCGACCCCUCCAGUGCCGUAGCUAACGCACUAAGUGCUCCGCCUGGGGAGUACGGCCGCAAGGUUG
rnacentral:rRNA from 1 species